AUGCGUCUCUGAUAUAUAGAUGAUAAUUGUUUGUUCACAUAUUUGUGUGUCAUGUGCCUCCCUUAAAACUUCUUAUGCAUUUAGAACAUUACCCAUUUGACA